rnacentral:rRNA from 1 species
GACAGAGGUGCCAAGCGUUAGGCGGAAUCACUGGGCUUAAAGCGUGUGUAGGCGGAAUGGUAAGUACCUUGUGAAAUCCCACGGCUCAACCGUGGAACUGCUUGGUAUACUGCUUUUCUUGAGCCACUUAGGGGCAACCGGAACAAACGGUGGAGCAGUGAAAUGCGUAGAUAUCGUGUGGAACGCCAAUGGUGAAAACAGGUUGCUGGGAGUGUGCUGACGCUGAGACACGAAAGCCAGGGGAGCAAACGGG